rnacentral:rRNA from 1 species
CCCUUAGAUGUUCUGGGCCGCACGCGCGCUACACUGAUGCAUUCAACGAGUUCCUACCUUGGCCGAGAGGCCUGGGCAAUCUUUUGAACUUGCAUCGUGAUAGGGAUAGAUUAUUGCAAUUAUUAAUCUUGAACGAGGAAUUCCUAGUAAACGCAGAUCAUCAAUCUGCAUUGAUUACGUCCCUGCCCUUUGUACACACCGCCCGUCGCACCUACCGAUUGAAUGGUCCGGUGAAGCCUCGGGAUUGUGGUUAGUCUCCUUCAUUGGAAGUUAGCCGCGAGAACUUGUCUAAACCUUAUCAUUUAGAGGAAGGUGAAGUCGUAACA